GUCAAAUCAUCAUGCCCCUUAUGUCCAGGGCUGCAAACAUGCUACAAUGGCCGGUACAAAGGGCUGCUAUCCCGCGAGGGUGAGCCAAUCCCAGAAAGCCGGUCUCAGUUCGGAUUGAAGUCUGCAACUCGACUUCAUGAAGUCGGAGUCGCUAGUAAUCCCGGAUCAGCACUGCCGGGGUGAAUACGUUCCCGGGCCUU
rnacentral:rRNA from 1 species